UGUUUACGGCCGUAUUGCGGUCCCCUCUAUAACAGGGGUUAAAAGGGAAUUCUGUGAAAACCAGAAACUGUUCCCGCAACUGUAAUCCGAACCGAUUUAUCGGGGUAAGUUCAAUCCAUACCAUUGUGGCGCCUGGCGCCAUGAGAAGGUGAACCACGGAGAGUCAGGAGACCUGCCACACUACACUAUUAUUA
rnacentral:ncRNA from 2 species